rnacentral:rRNA from 1 species
AACUUUUAACAACGGAUCUCUUGGCUCUCGCAUCGAUGAAGAACG